rnacentral:SRP_RNA from 1 species
CGCUAAGCGAGCACUGACAGGUUGUCUCAUUGUGAUGCGGAGUCACGGGUUCGUGCCCCGACGGAAGUCGAAGUGCGGCCAGCGUUGAAUCAAGGACCGUUGGGAAGGCAGGCAACUGAGCACCCACACCUUGAGCUCUGAAUGGACAUGAGAUUGCAGCCUU